rnacentral:tRNA from 1 species
CGACUCGUCGUCCAACGGACAGGAUGCGGGCUUGCGAAGUCCGUGAUGGUGGUUCGAGUCCACCCGAGUCGGCCA